AUGUCCAGUCGCUUGACAUCAGAAUCCCGCAUAUAUGCUGAUAAAGCAAGAGAUUUAAAUCGCCAGGUUAGUGCCAUGGAAAUUUAAGAUAAUGUGCUCAUAUUCUUGGCAGAAAGUGUACUUUCCACUUUUCAUUAGUCAGAAUGCAAAGUGGUGAUGUAGAAGGAUUUCAAGUAACAUGAAACUUGGGAUUUGUUCUUUACGUUCUAAUGCACACGCAGAUUGAUAUCAUGUAGGAUGUCAUUGUAGAAGAUUAUGGGGCUCGGUCUCUAGUUGAUUGUGGAUGGAUAUUUUCUAUCGUUGAACAGAACAUUUGGAGGCCUGUGGUUAAGAAAUAGGAUGGAGAAAUAUCAAACCAUGAUGUAUCACCAUUGAGGACUUCUGUUUCCUGCCAUUGCUCCUCGAAACUUGCACUUCAGUCUCGUUUGUGCUUAGACUAGGACAAACCAACAGAAAAUGGGAGUGAAAUUUUGCCCCCGUUUGGUUCUAGUUUUAGGUGUCUUGUUAGAUCCUUGCACUAGCAUAAACAUGCAGGCAUGUAUCAGAUUUGCUUCCUGUCUUAUCAUGGAAUACGUUCUUUAUUUUUUAUAUCUGCGAUUACUUUAAUAUACUGAUCAUAUAUUCAUAACU
rnacentral:lncRNA from 1 species